UCUCCGUUGGUGAACCAGCGGAGGGAUCAUUACUGAGUUUACGCUCUAUAACCCUUUGUGAACACAACUUGUUGCUUCGGGGGCGACCCUGCCGUUUCGACGGCGAGCGCCCCCGGAGGCCUUCAAACACUGCAUCUUUGCGUCGGAGUUUAAGUAAAUUAAACAAAACUUUCAACAACGGAUCUCUUGGUUCUGGCAUCGAUGAAGAACGCAGC
rnacentral:misc_RNA from 1 species